ACCUGGGAAAAAGCUUCAAAAAUCCCAUUCUUCCAGUCCCUAUGUGAACUCGUCAUCGAGUCUUGCCCAAAGCUAACUUCUAUGCCGCUAUUUCCACAUCCUGAAGCUCCGAUUCUGAUUGAUACCAGCUGAAAGCCAUUGCAACAGACAUUGAUGGGGAUGUUGAAUGAUGACGGCAUGGAAGAGGCUUCUUCUUUGUUUUCUUCUUCUUCUUCUUCUUCUUCUUCCCCUCUCUCCAAACUGAUGUAUAUUCAUUGCAUAUGUUAAGGACUUAAGAUCUUUGCCAGAAAGCAUAUGCAAUCCCUCGUCACUCCAAUCUCUUUAUAUUUGUGACUGCUCCUCUUUCACAACACUGCCAGAAAGUAUAUGCAAUCUCUCAUCACUCCAAUCUCUCUAUAUUUCUGACUGCCCCAGUUUCACAUCAUUGCCACAAGGAAUUCAUCGUCUAAAGUCUUCAGUACACAUUUAUGACUGCCCAGUCUCUUUUGAUGUAUAUUAGUCGUAAGGUGUAGUACGGAAGCUCUUUUAUAUGUUGAGACAAGGAUAUCUGAAGCUCCAUUGAUACUACUUCCUAAUAACAGAAAAAUAGAAGCUAGGUGGCCAUUCUCGCUCAUUUCAUCAUACAGAUGCAGAGCAAGCAGCAAGCACUUGAUUGGAGCUGGUGGUGGAGUAGCUGGAUUUGAAGCGGCCAAUGGGAGCUUGAAAGGGUUUGAUGGAAGUUUGAGCAGUUUAACAUGAUCAAGUUGCUAAGAUCAACUGUUGAUGGAACCUGCAUGCUGCCUCUGGUGGUACAAUGUUUGUUUGCCAAUUCAAUCUCAAAAGUAUUUUUGGAUCCGAAACAACAUCUUUACUAGGUUGAUGGACUAUCUAUUUUUACGACAUCCUAGAUGUUAUCGUAAAACUUGGUAAAUAAAAGUAAGAUAGAGUAAGAUAGAAUACUUGGUUACAAUCUAGACUCAAAUUUAAGAUUUAUCAUAAAAUACUUUUAUAAAUGUUUUAGUCUGGCCGAGUCUGGUUGUAGUUGCUUUUGGUUUCGUUAUUGUUCUUGGCUAGAUAUUGAUAUUCAACAUGCAUGCCUACAGGAUUGAGAAUAGCAAUACUAUUUCUUCCUCUGUUUUUAUGCUUUUAUUAUGAUUCGUGAAUCAGUGAUCGCAUUAAGAACAACCGUCUAAACACUUAUUGAUACUGGAUUCAAGUUGAUGCCUUUUUGGAACAUUAACA